AUGGACGGGCAGGAUUCGUUCCAGCCACGGCCGUGCUCUACCUCUCCUCCAUCGGACAAGAAGAGAACCCUCUCCUCGCUUCUCCUUUCUUCUAACUCCCGCCGACCGCCCCCAAACCCCAUCCAGCAAAAAGCCAUGGCGGCCAAGCACCUGCUCUCCCGCGCCCGCCUCCUCCUCACCCGCCACCGCAGCCGCCCCACCAUCCUCCCGCCCGCGCUCACCCGCCUCCUCUUCGGCGGGACAACCACCCCAGCCGAGCCGGAGGACGACGACAAGGCCAGGGCCCGGGCGGCGGCGGCGGCGGCCGUUGCCCUGGACGCCAAGAGGGCCAAGCGGGAGGGCUCCGACGACGACGACGAGGGCGCCGGGCUGCCCUGGACGUCCUGGCGGCCCGACGUGGCCUGGCUGACCAAGGCCCUGGAGCCGGCGCUGCAGCUCUACAAGCACUACAACUGGAAGCCAUUCGCCUCUGACAACAUCCCCGCAAGCACCCGCACUUUUAGCGAGAUCAUAAGUGACCUCCAGCACAGCAAGGUGAGCAUACAGGACUGGAGCCUCAGUGAUCUUACCGUCGGUCUCUACCUCAUUUACCUUACCCAAGCUUCUGCAAAGAAUGCUCAAGCUUUCAAGGGCGUCCAGAUAUCCUCCAAUAAGAAGGUCCAAGAAUUAAUUUAUCACCUUGAGCUCGCAAAGGGUUGCUAUAAGGGCAGUGCCACUGGGCUUGCAAAGCAUAGCAUGCUCCGGCCGAGGAAUGUUUUGAAGUUUGUCAAGGAUUCUAGUAUUUUCAGACCUGGAUAUUACAUCGGCAUCGAUCCACGUGCUAAACUGGUCAUCCUUGGGAUUCGUGGAACCCAUACGGUUUAUGACCUUGUCACCGAUUUGGUUGCAUUGAGCGAUAAGAAGGUGUCACCUAAAGGUUUCUCAACACACUUUGGAACAUACGAGGCCGCUCGAUGGUACCUACGCCAUGAGUUGAGCAUCAUCAGAAAAUGUUUGGAAAAACACAAGGACUACAAGUUGCGGUUGGUGGGCCACUCCCUUGGAGGAGCUUCAGCUGCCUUGCUUGCCAUAAUGCUAAGGAAGAAGUCGAAGGAGGAGCUUGGAUUUAGUCCAGACAUAGUUUCAGCUGUUGGAUUUGGAGUCCCACCCUGUGUAUCGAGAGAGAUAGCUGAGAGUUGCGCAAGCUAUGUCACCACUGUUGUACUGCAGGAUGACAUAGUUCCUAGGUUAAGUGCAGCUUCGCUGGCAAGAUUGCGAAAUGAAAUAAUUGAAACAGAUUGGGCCAAAGUCUUGGAGAAGGAAGACUGGAAGCAUAUAGUGGAUAUUGUGACUAAUGCUAAGCUUGUCGUUUCCUCCAUCCAAGAUGUGGCCAACAAACUUGCCGAUUACGCCAAAGUUGUAACAUCAGCUAGCUCCGGUGAUUCUGUGAAAGACCCGCCCCGUCUUCAGGGCCCGACGAAAGUUUUGAAGCCUGACGGUGAAGAAGACGUGUAUGUGCCUGAGGAUCUCUUCCUCCCAGGGACGCUGUAUUACCUCCAGCGGGACGUCGAGAAUAUAAACGGUGUCGAGGACGAGUCGUACACGCUCUGGAGAGGUGAUGCCGGGGAGAAUUUCCAGCGGAUACUGUUGUCUGGCAACUUGAUGUCUGAUCACAAAUGUGAUAGCAUACAGUACGCCCUCAGAGAUGUGCUCAAGACUCUACCUCUCCCUUUGCCUCUGCAGGAGGAUUAA
rnacentral:rRNA from 1 species